UUUCUCUCACAGUAAACACAACACACACACCCACGCCACUCUCUCAUCUCUCCCACGGCCUCUCUCUCUCUCUCUCUCAUCAAAUUUCUUCCCCAAAUCUCAAAUUAACCAAGGGAUCUUGGAGUAUUCUUCUCCUAGAAUCGAGUUCUAACCUUUGAUCGCGUUGGAAAGCUCGGAGGAGGUGUUUUCGGGAGAGGUUUUGCCUGGAGAUUCUUGGGAUUUUAAUUUCAACCUUCGAGGUUAUAAGUAAUGGACAGGAGUUGGAUGAGGAUAAGAAGAAAUAGGUUGGCAAGUAGAGAGUAUCAACUAGGGGUGGAAUCUUUUCUACAAUUUGCGAUGGCGAAUUUAGGACCACAACUUGAGAUUCGGUGUCCAUGUAAUGAUUGUGUAAAUGGCAGAAAACAUAGCUUUGUAGUUGUUAAGAUCCAUUUGAUACGGAAAGGAUUUGACUCUUCUUAUAAGACUUGGGUGCACCAUGGGGAAUUUGUUCCCGCACCUCAAGCAUAUGAUGAUGACCAUCAUGACCCCAAUGAAGGUAUUGGGGAUGAAACUGGAAGGGAGGUCCUUAAGGAUGGCAACCAAUUGCAGAAUGGUGGACGAGGCAACAUGGGAGCAGGGUGAUGGUGGCUCAAAUAUAUGGGACGGCGUUUUAAUGGAGUAUCGCGCAGGAUGUUGGUUAUUGACUAUGAAGAUCGAAGUUAGAUUUUGGUUGUGGACGUGCUUGGAUUUUUUUUGGGGUUAUCCGUUUGUUGAAGUUGAACUAUUUAGUAUUUUGCGGUCCACGAGAUUUGUUGAAGUUGAACUAAGCUUGGAUUUUUUUUUAUUUUCCAGCCGUGGUGGUGGACGUGUUAUUAUGCACUCUACGAAUUUGAAUACAAGUUUUUUAACUA